GACGAACGCUGGCGGCGUGCCUAAUACAUGCAAGUCGAGCGGACCAAAGGGAGCUUGCUCCUGGAGGUCAGCGGCGAACGGGUGAGUAACACGUGGGCAACCUGCCUGUAAGACUGGGAUAACAUCGAGAAAUCGGUGCUAAUACCGGAUAAUAAAAAGAACUGCAUGGUUCUUUUUUGAAAGAUGGUUUCGGCUAUCACUUACAGAUGGGCCCGCGGCGCAUUAGCUAGUUGGUGAGGUAACGGCUCACCAAGGCAACGAUGCGUAGCCGACCUGAGAGGGUGAUCGGCCACACUGGGACUGAGACACGGCCCAGACUCCUACGGGAGGCAGCAGUAGGGAAUCUUCCGCAAUGGACGAAAGUCUGACGGAGCAACGCCGCGUGAGUGAUGAAGGUUUUCGGAUCGUAAAACUCUGUUGUUAGGGAAGAACAAGUGCCGUUCGAAAGGCGGCACCUUGACGGUACCUAACGAGAAAGCCACGGCUAACUACGUGCCAGCAGCCGCGGUAA
rnacentral:rRNA from 1 species